AUAGGAAAGAGGACAAUAUAAGAAGAACACAAGCAGGAAGAUGCUUGGCCAAACUCUUUCAAGUUAAGGAGUGGCAAAAAUAUAUAUACUAGGAAACUCUUCUAUCCUCACCCUGAAAUGAUAAGACUUCUGUCUUCCUUGGAAGUUCCAAAUUGCAUCUAGCUGCAAGGGCAUCCUGGCCAACAUGCUGGGGUACUAUCUAGAUUUACAAGAUUACAUACCUGCAUGUCCCACAUGCCCACCAACAGAAUUGAUGGUCUUCUCUCAGGAUCUGCACCCCCACUAAAGUUCUUCCCUUCAGCAGCAUCACCACCAAGAGAAACUUAUGUCAGAAGUAGUAGCUUCUUUCCAGAAAUUGGAGAUUGCAAUUAUUUUUAUUAUUUUAAUCUCCAUAACUGGGAUGUAGUACAGUUAGCUGCAAGAGUCUCAGUCAUUCAUUUCCCAGACUGCUGUCCUGUUCUAGCACUUCAGUUCUGUGAUAAAUACAGCCUGAAGCUCAUUAAAAUCUUUUCACAGUUUCGACCCUCUGGUUAUCAAGACAUCUCAUAGAUCCUGAGAAAACCUUCCUAUCUCCAAAAAGGAGUGGUCUCAUCUGGUUCUGGAACUCUUUCUCAAGCAAAAUGGAGCCCACCAGUUUGCAAGACCUGGAGGAGAUGUUGUCAUUCUUUUCCAGCUGAAGACUCCUGGUACUGUACAGGCAACUGGAAAUGAAGCUACUUUUUUUACAUACUAUUCUUUGCAUCUUUGCAAUUUUACCAUCCUGAAAUUUGAUGAAACAUGUGUCUGCAGAUGAACUGGGGAUUUCCAUUUGUGCAGUAAUAGAUUUUGGCUGGUGAAGGAGCAGACAACUGCCAAGAGCCAAUUCUCUGACCUUUGGAUGGUCCUCUAGUAUGGCCAAUGUCCCUGCAGAAUAUAAACUGAGUAGCUGAGUAGCUAAAUAAAGAUCAAGGCCAAGUCAAAGUCAUGACUAGACAUCCAGCCCUGAACAAAUAUUUACUACCCAUUCUUGACUGAAUAGGAACAAAGGUCUUUUUUACUAAUAUUUUAUAUGAUUUUAAAGUGUUCUGGCUUCAAAGCCAUUUUAAUUUUUUUUUUUAAUUUGUGCUUAGAACAAAUUUUUUGGAAGCAUUUG